rnacentral:rRNA from 1 species
GACGAACGCUGGCGGCGUGCUUAACACAUGCAAGUCGAACGGAAAGGCCCUGCUUUUGUGGGGUGCUCGAGUGGCGAACGGGUGAGUAACACGUGAGUAACCUGCCCUUGACUUUGGGAUAACUUCAGGAAACUGGGGCUAAUGCCGGAUAGGAGCUCCUGCUGCAUGGUGGGGGUUGGAAAGUUUCGGCGGUUGGGGAUGGACUCGCGGCUUAUCAGCUUGUUGGUGGGGUAGUGGCUUACCAAGGCUUUGACGGGUAGCCGGCCUGAGAGGGUGACCGGCCACAUUGGGACUGAGAUACGGCCCAGACUCCUACGGGAGGCAGCAGUGGGGAAUAUUGCACCAUGGGCGGAAGCCUGAUGCAGCAACGCCGCGUGCGGGAUGACGGCCUUCGGGUUGUAAACCGCUUUCGCCUGUGACGAAGCGUGAGUGACGGUAAUGGGUAAAGAAGCACCGGCUAACUACGUG